GACGAACGCUGGCGGCGUGCUUAACACAUGCGAGUCGAACGGAAAGGCCCUGCUUUUGUGGGGUGCUCGAGUGGCGAACGGGUGAGUAACACGUGAGUAACCUGCCCUUGACUUCGGGAUAACUUCAGGAAACUGGGGCUAAUACCGGAUAGGAGCUCCUGCUGCAUGGUGGGGGUUGGAAAGUUUCGGCGGUUGGGGAUGGACUCGCGGCUUAUCAGCUUGUUGGUGGGGUAGUGGCUUACCAAGGCUUUGACGGGUAGCCGGCCUGAGAGGGUGACCGGCCACAUUGGGACUGAGAUACGGCCCAGACUCCUACGGGAGGCAGCAGUGGGGAAUAUUGCACAAUGGGCGGAAGCCUGAUGCAGCAACGCCGCGUGCGGGAUGACGGCCUUCGGGUUGUAAACCGCUUUCGCCUGUGACGAAGCGUGAGUGACGGUAAUGGGUAAAGAAGCACCGGCUAACUACGUG
rnacentral:rRNA from 1 species